rnacentral:lncRNA from 10 species
UCUGCACAUGCACAGAAUCUGGGCCCAGGUGACUUAUGGAACCUUUAUAGAGACCACGGUGACUGACACUCAUGGGAAAGGGGGUAGAGGGGCAAGAACUGACUGUUCAUCAAAAAUUAUUAGAUGAGUGUGUCCACGACACCAGGAGAUAUGUUGAAUCAUGGACAGGGACCAGCAUAUCCACUAAGCUCUAUAUAUCUUGAUGGUGCAGGAUCCAAGUGGGAUGGAACAACCAAUUCCUGCCCAUCCUCCUGCUCAAUAAUACAUGUGCUCAGAAUCUGUUCAUAAUGCAUGGUGAGUGGGAGGCAUAACUGCUUUGCCUCCAGUCAUCAUCUGGGGGCAUAUCUACUCUUCGAGGACCAGGGGUUCGGGACCCUGGAACAGGAUCUGAAUUCCAAGCUGACCUCAGGGGUACAUGAAGACUGCUAGAUGAGACGGGAUCUCACUGUGUUGCCCAGGCUGGUCUCGAACUGCUGGACUCAAGUCAUCCUCCCAUCUUGG